UACGUAGGUGGCAAGCGUUGUCCGGAUUUACUGGGCGUAAAGAGCGCGCAGGCGGUCGGUCAAGUCGCGUGUGAAAGCCCCCGGCUCAACUGGGGAGGGUCACGCGAUACUGAUCGACUCGAAGGCAGGAGAGGGUAGUGGAAUUCCCGGUGUAGUGGUGAAAUGCGUAGAUAUCGGGAGGAACACCAGUGGCGAAGGCGGCGAUCUGGGAAGAUACUGACGCUGAGGUGCGAAAGCGUGGGGAGCAAACAGG
rnacentral:rRNA from 1 species